rnacentral:lncRNA from 1 species
UUAAAAUUAAAGAAAUGGGGAGAAGAUGAAGAGACUACCCUAUGUACAAAAAUUUAAAAGUUUAAAGUUGAAAAGAUCUGACCAAAUGGGAGCAAUCCAGUAGACAAGUAUGUCAAUAGAAACCCAGAAUUCCCUUGGACUUUUUAGAAUCAAGCAACACACAAAUGCACAAUUAUAUCAAUCUUGAAGAUAAAAGGCAUGAAAAAAAGAUGGCCUCAUCCAAGCUUGUCCACUUCAAUGAUCUUCCUU